CCUACGGUAGGCAGCAGUGAGGAAUAUUGGUCACUGGACGAGAGUCUGAACCAGCCAAGUAGCGUGAAGGAUGACUGCCCUAUGGGUUGUAAACUUCUUUUAUAAAGGAAUAAAACGAGGCACGUGUGCCUUUUUGCAUGUACUUUAUGAAUAAGGAUCGGCUAACUCAGUGCCAGCAGCCGCGGUAAUACGGAGGAUCCGAGCGUUAUCCGGAUUUAUUGGGUUUAAAGGGAGCGUAGAUGGGUUGUUAAGUCAGUUGUGAAAGUUUGCGGCUCAACCGUAAAAUUGCAAUUGAUACUGGCAGUCUUGAGUACAGUUGAGGUAGGCGGAAUUCGUGGUGUAGCGGUGAAAUGCUUAGAUAUCACGAAGAACCCCGAUUGCGAAGGCAGCUUACUAAACUGUGACUGACAUUGAUGCUCGAAAGUGUGGGUAUCAAACAGGAUUAGAUACCCGGGUAGUC
rnacentral:rRNA from 1 species